CCGCGGGCUGAGCAACUGGGCGAAGGAGAGGUGUUGGACCAAGAUGGCGGCCGCCGAAGGACUCGCGGGCGACGGCGAACUGUGGCAGACCUGGCUGCCUAACCACGCUGUGUUCUUGAGGCUCCGGGAGGGACUGAAAAACCAGAGCCCAGCCGAAGCUGAGAAGCCGGCUUCUUCUUCAUUGCCUUCGUCGUCGCCGCCGCUGCCGCCGCAGUCGCUGACGAGAAACCUGGUCUUAGGCCUCGGCGGAGAGCUCUUCCUGUGGGACGGAGAAGGCAGCUCCUUCUUAGUCGUGCGCCUUCGGGGCCUCAGCUGCGCCAGUGAGGAGCCUUCCCUCUCCCAGUACCAGAGAUUGCUUUGCAUAAAUCCACCCCUGUUUGAAAUCUAUCAAGUCUUGUUAAGUCCAACAGAACAUCAUGUAGCACUUAUAGGAAUAAAAGGACUUAUGAUAUUAGAAUUACCUAAAAGAUGGGGGAAGAAUUCUGAAUUUGAAGGUGGAAAAUCAACAGUGAAUUGUAGCACCACUCCAAUUGCUGAGAGACUUUUCACCAGUUCUACCUCUCUGACUCUAAAGCAUGCUGCCUGGUAUCCAAGUGAGAUGCUGGAUCCCCACAUAGUGUUGUUAACAUCAGACAAUGUAAUAAGAAUUUAUUCUCUGCGUGAGCCCCAGACACCCACUAAGGUUAUUAUACUUUCAGAAACAGAAGAGGAAAGUCUAAUACUCAAUAAAGGAAGGGCCUACACCGCAUCUCUAGGAGAGACAGCAGUUGCAUUUGACUUUGGGCCAUUGUCAGCAGUCCCGAAGAACGUAUUUGGACAAAAAGGCAAAGAUGAAGUAGUGGCAUUCCCCCUGUACAUCUUGUACGAGAAUGGGGAGACGUUCCUUACGUAUGUUAGCCUGUUGCACAGCCCUGGGAGCGUGGGGAAGCUGUUAGGCCCGUUGCCCAUGCACCCGGCAGCUGAAGACAACUAUGGUUACGACGCCUGCGCCGUGCUCUGCUUGCCCUGUGUCCCCAACAUCUUGGUGAUUGCCACUGAGUCCGGAAUGCUCUACCACUGUGUCGUGCUGGAAGGGGAGGAAGAAGACGACCAAACAUCAGAAAAGUCCUGGGAUUCCAGGGCAGACCUCAUUCCUUCUCUGUAUGUGUUUGAGUGUGUUGAGUUGGAGCUUGCUCUGAAACUGGCGUCUGGAGAGGAUGAUCCCUUUGAUUCUGACUUUUCUUGUCCAAUUAAACUUCACAGAGAUCCCAAGUGUCCCUCAAGAUACCACUGUACUCAUGAAGCUGGUGUGCAUAGUGUUGGGCUCACUUGGAUUCAUAAACUUCACAAAUUUCUUGGAUCAGAUGAAGAAGAUAAGGACAGUUUGCAGGAACUAGCUACAGAACAGAAAUGCUUCGUAGAACACAUCCUUUGCACCAAGCCAUUGCCGUGCAGGCAGCCAGCUCCGAUUCGAGGAUUCUGGAUUGUCCCUGACAUACUGGGGCCUACGAUGAUCUGCAUCACCAGUACCUGCGAAUGCCUCAUAAGGCCUUUACUAAGCACAGUCCAUCCAGCAUCUCCUCCCCUGCUCUGUACCCGAGAUGACGUUGAAGUGGCAGAGUCUCCCCUCCGGAUUCUGGCCGAAACCCCGGAUUCCUUUGAAAAACACAUCAGAAGCAUUCUGCAACGCAGUGUCGCAAAUCCAGCGGUUUUGAAAUCAUCUGAAAAAGAUACGGCACCCCCUCCCGAAGAAUGUCUUCAGCUCAUCAGCAGAGCCACCCAGGUGUUCAGAGAACAGUACAUUCUUAAACAGGACCUGGCAAAGGAGGAGAUUCAGCGGAGGGUGAAACUGUUAUGUGACCAAAAAAAGAAACAACUAGAAGAUCUCAAUUAUUGUCGAGAGGAGAGGAAAAGUCUACGGGAAAUGGCUGAGCGCUUAGCUGACAAAUAUGAGGAAGCCAAGGAAAAACAAGAAGAUAUUAUGAACAGGAUGAAAAAAAGUACUUCACAGUUUUCACUCUCAGCUUCCAGUUCUGUCUGAUAGUGAGAGAGACAUGAAGAAAGAAUUACAGCUGAUACCUGAUCAACUUCGACAUCUGGGCAAUGCCAUCAAACAGGUUACUAUGAAAAAAGACUAUCAGCAGCGAAAGAUGGAAAAGGUACUAAGUCCUCAGAAGCCCACCAUUACGCUCAGCGCCUACCAGCGGAAGUGCAUUCAGUCCAUCCUGAAGGAGGAGGGUGAACACAUAAGAGAGAUGGUGAAGCAAAUUAAUGAUAUCCGAAACCAUGUAAACUUCUGACACGGCCGGGGCCGGCACGCCCUGUGAAACGAGCAGGCGGCAUCACCUAGUUUAUAAAGAGGCGUUCUGGAUGAACUUUUCUGUGGUGGCUCAUCACUUUUUAUAGUUAUUUUAUAAUUAUUGAAUAAAUGCUUUUAUUUAAAAAUUGGAA